UCGGAGGGAUUUAUUAUGUGCGAAGGAUCGGAUCUGUAACGUCGAAGCAUCGAAACAUGAAAAACGUUGUGAAUCUUCUCAAGGUCAGGGGGUAAAAUCAAUCUAUAUGCCACUGGGCCAACUCGUUCGGAUAUUUCAUACGGCCCUAUGAACCUUGGACUCAGUUUGCCCUUACGGCCAAAUCUGAGUAUCUUUUUCCAAGGUGAAACUUUAAGAAAUACUUUGUCUCCCAC
rnacentral:lncRNA from 1 species